rnacentral:rRNA from 1 species
GAUGAACGCUAGCUACAGGCUUAACACAUGCAAGUCGAGGGGAAACGACAUCGAAAGCUUGCUUUUGAUGGGCGUCGACCGGCGCACGGGUGAGUAACGCGUAUCCAACCUGCCCAUCACUUGGGGAUAACCUUGCGAAAGUAAGACUAAUACCCAAUGACGUCUCUAGAAGACAUCUGAAAGGGAUUAAAGAUUUAUCGGUGAUGGAUGGGGAUGCGUCUGAUUAGCUUGUUGGCGGGGUAACGGCCCACCAAGGCAACGAUCAGUAGGGGUUCUGAGAGGAAGGUCCCCCACAUUGGAACUGAGACACGGUCCAAACUCCUACGGGAGGCAGCAGUGAGGAAUAUUGGUCAAUGGGCGAGAGCCUGAACCAGCCAAGUAGCGUGCAGGAAGAAAGGCCCUAUGGGUUGUAAACUGCUUUUAUAGGGGAAUAAAGUGAGUCUCGUGAGGCUUUUUGCAUGUACCUUAUGAAUAAGGACCGGCUAAUUCCGUG